UACAGAGACCCCGAGCGUUAUCCGGAUUUAUUGGGCGUAAAGAGUCUGUAGGCGUCUUGGUAAGUUCUUGGUUAAAGCCCACCGCUCAACGGUGGAAUCGCUGAGAAAACUACCAGGAUCGAGGUUGGGAGAGGCAAGCGGAAUUGCCGGUGUAGUAGUAAAAUGCGUUAAUAUCGGCAAGAACACCAAAGGCGAAGGCAGCUUGCUAGAACACACCUGACGCUGAGAGACGAAAGCGUGGGGAGCGAAUGGG
rnacentral:rRNA from 1 species